rnacentral:rRNA from 1 species
GAUGAACGCUGGCGGCGUGCCUAAUACAUGCAAGUCGAGCGAACGGACGAGAAGCUUGCUUUUCUGAUGUUAGCGGCGGACGGGUGAGUAACACGUGGAUAACCUACCUAUAAGACUGGGAUAACUUCGGGAAACCGGAGCUAAUACCGGAUAAUAUUUUGAACCGCAUGGUUCAAAAGUGAAAGACGGUCUUGCUGUCACUUAUAGAUGGAUCCGCGCUGCAUUAGCUAGUUGGUAAGGUACGGCUUACCAAGGCAACGAUGCAUAGCCGACCUGAGAGGGUGAUCGGCCACACUGGAACUGAGACACGGUCCAGACUCCUACGGGAGGCAGCAGUAGGGAAUCUUCCGCAAUGGGCGAAAGCCUGACGGAGCAACGCCGCGUGAGUGAUGAAGGUCUUCGGAUCGUAAAACUCUGUUAUUAGGGAAGAACAUAUGUGUAAGUAACUGUGCACAUCUUGACGGUACCUAAUCAGAAAGCCGCGGCUAACUACGUG